rnacentral:rRNA from 1 species
ACACUCCUGCGGGAGGCAGCAGUGGGGAAUAUUGGACAAUGGGCGCAAGCCUGAUCCAGCCAUGCCGCGUGAGUGAUGAAGGCCCUAGGGUUGUAAAGCUCUUUCACCGGUGAAGAUAAUGACGGUAACCGGAGAAGAAGCCCCGGCUAACUUCGUGCCAGCAGCCGCGGUAAUACGAAGGGGGCUAGCGUUGUUCGGAUUUACUGGGCGUAAAGCGCACGUAGGCGGACUAUUAAGUCAGGGGUGAAAUCCCGGGGCUCAACCCCGGAACUGCCUUUGAUACUGGUAGUCUUGAGUUCGAGAGAGGUGAGUGGAAUUCCGAGUGUAGAGGUGAAAUUCGUAGAUAUUCGGAGGAACACCAGUGGCGAAGGCGGCUCACUGGCUCGAUACUGACGCUGAGGUGCGAAAGCGUGGGGAGCAAACAGGAUUAGAAACCCUUGUAGUCCCAU